rnacentral:rRNA from 1 species
AGUGAACGCUGGCGGCAGGCCUAACACAUGCAAGUCGAGCGGAUGAAGGGAGCUUGCUCCUGGAUUCAGCGGCGGACGGGUGAGUAAUGCCUAGGAAUCUGCCUGGUAGUGGGGGAUAACGUCCGGAAACGGGCGCUAAUACCGCAUACGUCCUGAGGGAGAAAGUGGGGGAUCUUCGGACCUCACGCUAUCAGAUGAGCCUAGGUCGGAUUAGCUAGUUGGUGGGGUAAAGGCCUACCAAGGCGACGAUCCGUAACUGGUCUGAGAGGAUGAUCAGUCACACUGGAACUGAGACACGGUCCAGACUCCUACGGGAGGCAGCAGUGGGGAAUAUUGGACAAUGGGCGAAAGCCUGAUCCAGCCAUGCCGCGUGUGUGAAGAAGGUCUUCGGAUUGUAAAGCACUUUAAGUUGGGAGGAAGAGCAGUAAGUUAAUACCUUGCUGUUUUGACGUUACCAACAGAAUAAGCACCGGCUAACUUCGUG